CAGCUCAUCCUGUGGACGCAGACUGGAUGACCCCACAGUGACCUCAACAACAGGAACUGGAAGUAGCUUCUCUGCUGGACUCAGUCGUCUCAACAUCCUAGUGGCCCAGAGACUGGCUCAGGAGCAGGCAGAGAAGAAGAAGGAGCAGUGUUCUGUCACCUCCAACUCUGUCACCACGACGACCGGCGGUGACUUGGAGACAAAGCAGAGGCGCAAAUCCUACUUGACCCCGGUUCGUGAUGAGGAGGCGGAGGCUCAGAGGAAGGCUCGAUCCAGACACGCCAGACAGUCACGACGAUCCACUCAGGUAGGCCCACCUGACGAGA